rnacentral:rRNA from 1 species
GGGUUGUGAGGUUAAGCGACUAAGCGUACACGGUGGAUGCCCUGGCAGUCAGAGGCGAUGAAGGACGUGCUAAUCUGCGAUAAGCGUCGGUAAGGUGAUAUGAACCGUUAUAACCGGCGAUUUCCGAAUGGGGAAACCCAGUGUGUUUCGACACACUAUCAUUAACUGAAUCCAUAGGUUAAUGAGGCGAACCGGGGGAACUGAAACAUCUAAGUACCCCGAGGAAAAGAAAUCAACCGAGAUUCCCCCAGUAGCGGCGAGCGAACGGGGAGCAGCCCAGAGCCUGAAUCAGUAUGUGUGUUAGUGGAAGCGUCUGGAAAGGCGCGCGAUACAGGGUGACAGCCCCGUACACAAAAAUGCACAUGCUGUGAGCUCGAUGAGUAGGGCGGGACACGUGGUAUCCUGUCUGAAUAUGGGGGGACCAUCCUCCAAGGCUAAAUACUCCUGACUGACCGAUAGUGAACCAGUACCGUGAGGGAAAGGCGAAAAGAACCCCGGCGAGGGGAGUGAAAAAGAACCUGAAACCGUGUACGUACAAGCAGUGGGAGCACGCUUAGGCGUGUGACUGCGUACCUUUUGUAUAAUGGGUCAGCGACUUAUAUUCUGUAGCAAGGUUAACCGAAUAGGGGAGCCGAAGGGAAACCGAGUCUUAACUGGGCGUUAAGUUGCAGGGUAUAGACCCGAAACCCGGUGAUCUAGCCAUGGGCAGGUUGAAGGUUGGGUAACACUAACUGGAGGACCGAACCGACUAAUGUUGAAAAAUUAGCGGAUGACUUGUGGCUGGGGGUGAAAGGCCAAUCAAACCGGGAGAUAGCUGGUUCUCCCCGAAAGCUAUUUAGGUAGCGCCUCGUGAAUUCAUCUCCGGGGGUAGAGCACUGUUUCGGCAAGGGGGUCAUCCCGACUUACCAACCCGAUGCAAACUGCGAAUACCGGAGAAUGUUAUCACGGGAGACACACGGCGGGUGCUAACGUCCGUCGUGAAGAGGGAAACAACCCAGACCGCCAGCUAAGGUCCCAAAGUCAUGGUUAAGUGGGAAACGAUGUGGGAAGGCCCAGACAGCCAGGAUGUUGGCUUAGAAGCAGCCAUCAUUUAAAGAAAGCGUAAUAGCUCACUGGUCGAGUCGGCCUGCGCGGAAGAUGUAACGGGGCUAAACCAUGCACCGAAGCUGCGGCAGCGACGCUUAUGCGUUGUUGGGUAGGGGAGCGUUCUGUAAGCCUGUGAAGGUGUGCUGUGAGGCAUGCUGGAGGUAUCAGAAGUGCGAAUGCUGACAUAAGUAACGAUAAAGCGGGUGAAAAGCCCGCUCGCCGGAAGACCAAGGGUUCCUGUCCAACGUUAAUCGGGGCAGGGUGAGUCGACCCCUAAGGCGAGGCCGAAAGGCGUAGUCGAUGGGAAACAGGUUAAUAUUCCUGUACUUGGUGUUACUGCGAAGGGGGGACGGAGAAGGCUAUGUUGGCCGGGCGACGGUUGUCCCGGUUUAAGCGUGUAGGCUGGUUUUCCAGGCAAAUCCGGAAAAUCAAGGCUGAGGCGUGAUGACGAGGCACUACGGUGCUGAAGCAACAAAUGCCCUGCUUCCAGGAAAAGCCUCUAAGCAUCAGGUAACAUCAAAUCGUACCCCAAACCGACACAGGUGGUCAGGUAGAGAAUACCAAGGCGCUUGAGAGAACUCGGGUGAAGGAACUAGGCAAAAUGGUGCCGUAACUUCGGGAGAAGGCACGCUGAUAUGUAGGUGAAGUCCCUCGCGGAUGGAGCUGAAAUCAGUCGAAGAUACCAGCUGGCUGCAACUGUUUAUUAAAAACACAGCACUGUGCAAACACGAAAGUGGACGUAUACGGUGUGACGCCUGCCCGGUGCCGGAAGGUUAAUUGAUGGGGUCAGCGCAAGCGAAGCUCUUGAUCGAAGCCCCGGUAAACGGCGGCCGUAACUAUAACGGUCCUAAGGUAGCGAAAUUCCUUGUCGGGUAAGUUCCGACCUGCACGAAUGGCGUAAUGAUGGCCAGGCUGUCUCCACCCGAGACUCAGUGAAAUUGAACUCGCUGUGAAGAUGCAGUGUACCCGCGGCAAGACGGAAAGACCCCGUGAACCUUUACUAUAGCUUGACACUGAACAUUGAGCCUUGAUGUGUAGGAUAGGUGGGAGGCUUUGAAGUGUGGACGCCAGUCUGCAUGGAGCCGACCUUGAAAUACCACCCUUUAAUGUUUGAUGUUCUAACGUUGACCCGUAAUCCGGGUUGCGGACAGUGUCUGGUGGGUAGUUUGACUGGGGCGGUCUCCUCCUAAAGAGUAACGGAGGAGCACGAAGGUUGGCUAAUCCUGGUCGGACAUCAGGAGGUUAGUGCAAUGGCAUAAGCCAGCUUGACUGCGAGCGUGACGGCGCGAGCAGGUGCGAAAGCAGGUCAUAGUGAUCCGGUGGUUCUGAAUGGAAGGGCCAUCGCUCAACGGAUAAAAGGUACUCCGGGGAUAACAGGCUGAUACCGCCCAAGAGUUCAUAUCGACGGCGGUGUUUGGCACCUCGAUGUCGGCUCAUCACAUCCUGGGGCUGAAGUAGGUCCCAAGGGUAUGGCUGUUCGCCAUUUAAAGUGGUACGCGAGCUGGGUUUAGAACGUCGUGAGACAGUUCGGUCCCUAUCUGCCGUGGGCGCUGGAGAACUGAGGGGGGCUGCUCCUAGUACGAGAGGACCGGAGUGGACGCAUCACUGGUGUUCGGGUUGUCAUGCCAAUGGCACUGCCCGGUAGCUAAAUGCGGAAGAGAUAAGUGCUGAAAGCAUCUAAGCACGAAACUUGCCCCGAGAUGAGUUCUCCCUGACUCCUUGAGAGUCCUGAAGGAACGUUGAAGACGACGACGUUGAUAGGCCGGGUGUGUAAGCGCAGCGAUGCGUUGAGCUAACCGGUACUAAUGAACCGUGAGGCUUAACCUUACAACGCCGAAG